UACGUAGGGCCGCAAGCGUUAUACCGGAAUUGAUUGGGCGUAAAGAGCUCGUAGGCGGUUUGUCGCGUCUGCCGUGAAAGUCCGGGGCUCAACUCCGGAUCUGCGGUGGGUACGGGCAGACUAGAGUGAUGUAGGGGAGACUGGAAUUCCUGGUGUAGCGGUGAAAUGCGCAGAUAUCAGGAGGAACACCGAUGGCGAAGGCAGGUCUCUGGGCCGUAACUGACGCUGAGGAGCGAAAGCAUGGGGAGCGAACAGG
rnacentral:rRNA from 1 species